rnacentral:rRNA from 1 species
CUGGCGGCGCUUAGCGCGGUGGUCCCACCUGACCCCAUGCCGAACUCAGAAGUGAAACGCCGUAGCGCCGAUGGUAGUGUGGGGUCUCCCCAUGCGAGAGUAGGGAACUGCCAGGC